AACUUUUGUGUCUAGCUAAAGGAUUGUAAAUGCACCAAUCAGCACUCUGUGUCUAGCUCAAGGUUUGUACAUGCACCAAUUAGCACCCUGUCAAAACGGACCAAUCAGCUCUCUGUAAAAUGGACCAAUCAGCAGGAUGUGAGUAGGGCCAGAGAAGGGAAUAAAAGCAGGCUGAGCGAGCUAGCACGUAACUUGUUGGAGUCUGUUUCUGUGGUGAGGGGGCUGCCGGUGGUUUGUUCUUUCAACUAAAUCCUGUUGUUGCUAGCCGUUUGGGUCUAUACUGCGCUUAUGAACUGCAACACUCCCCGUGAAAGUCUGCAGCUUUACUCAUCAAGCCAAUGAGACUGUGAAUCUGCUAGAAGGAACGGACAACUCCAGCUGCACUGCCUUAGAGAGCUUGUAACACCGCAAAGGUCUGCAGCUUCACUGCUGAGCAUCUGAAAAACCUCUUGCACAUGGACAAACAUUUAUUGGAGGAAUGAAGACAAAGUUGGAGACUGCCUGUAGCUCCAUGACACCUUGUCUGACAAACUAGUCAGCUCUCCUUGGACUUAGCCGUGGGAAGGCUCUCAGAUGGUGGCAAGAAACUCAAGAUGGGAUUUCACCAUUGUUGCCUAGGCUGGUCUCGAACUCCUGGGCUCAAGCGAUCUGCCUGCCUUGGCCUCCCAAAGUGCUGGGAUUACAGGCGUGAGCCAUGGUGCGUGGCCGAGGGGCCGAAUCUGGGACAGCACAUGGACCUUGCCAAGCGGGGCACACUCUGUGGCAUCUGCAUUUGCUCUUCCAUCUGCACAGUGAGCUCUUCCGUGCAUCUUCCAAAGGCUGGCUCCUUCCCAUUUCUCAGUCCUCUGGUCAUAGAAACCCCUUGGAGGGAACUUUUUUGACUACCUCAUCUAAAAUAGGCCCGGCCCCAGCCAGCUUUUCUUUUUUAAUUAAAAAUUUAAUUGUGAUAUAAUUCACAUAAGAUUUCACAAAACACCACAUUCACCAUUUAAAAGUGUACGAUUCAAUGGUUUUCGGUAUAUUCACAAUAUUAUACGGCCAUCACCACUAUCUAACUUCAGAACAUUUCCAUUGUCCCCAAAAGAAACCUCAUACCAUGAAGAAGUCACGGCCCACCUCGCAUUCCUCCCAGCCUCUGGCAUCCACUCAUCUACCGUCUUGUCUGUAUGGAAUUGCCUGUGCUGGGUAUGACACACCCACUUCUUUUUAAAUGUUAAAGCACCCUGUUUGUUUCCUUCCUGGCAUGGAUGUAUUUGCUCAUUUACUUGUUUACCAUUUAUUCUCACAAUCUAUGAAUAAGUCGCAGAGUUUCUUCACAAUUCAGUCUGCCCAGCCUUAAAGUGAGCCCAGCCUUUCACCAUAGGAUCCAAUCUAUGUGGUGGUGCAACCACUUCUGGGGCUACUGUGGAAGAGACUCGUCUGUGGUAGCAUGCCCUCCAAGAGUUCUUGAGGGCUCUAUAUCUUUUGAAGGAUUUUCUGCUUUUCACUUGCAACCCACAGAGUCAUAACUGAUUUAAUCACCUUCUUCAGAGUACUGCGUGCAUUUGUAGAAGACUCUUUAAGGCCUGGGCUUCUUGCUGCAGCAAUAAAUACCAGUAACCUUUACAGAGC
rnacentral:lncRNA from 1 species